GGUAGUCCACGCCAUGGACGAUGGGUACUAGGAGUCCGGGGCUAUCGACCCCUCCGGUGCCGCAGUGCACGCACUAAGUACACCGCCUGGGGAUCAUGGUAGCAAGGCUGCAACUCGAAGGAAUUGACGGGGCCCCGCACAAUCGGUCGAGCAUGUGGCUUAAUUCGACGCUAUGAGACGAACCUUACAUGGGCUUGACAUGUUUGGGACAGCGCUGGAAACAGCGUAUCUCUUUCGGGAGCCCUUGCACAGGUGCUGCAUGGCUGUCGUCAGCUCCCGUCGUGAGAUAUUGGGAUAAGUCCCGCAACGAGCGCAACCGUCGUUACUAGUAGCCAUCAGGUCGCCGGGGCACUUUAGUGAGAGUCCCGCUGAUACACCGCAGGAAGGCGAGGACGAUGUCAAGUCAUCAUGGCCCAUACAGGCCUAGGGUUACCACACAGUGCUACAAUGCUCGGCACAAAGGGUCACUAAGCAGCGAGGUGGAGCUAAUCCCAACCAGCAGGCCUCAGGUCGGACCGGAGUCUACAACUAGACUCCAUGAAGGCGAGAAUCGCUAGUAAUCGCGGAUCAGCACCCCGCGGUGAUAUGUACACGGGGAUUGUACACACCGCCGGUAUAUCACCCGAGUCGGG
rnacentral:rRNA from 1 species